rnacentral:ncRNA from 1 species
UUCUUCGGGGCGGGGUGCAAUUCCCCACCGGCGGUCAAAGUCCGCGAGCGUGAAUGCUGAAUCGGUGAAAUUCCGAUACCGACGGUUAAAGUCCGGAUGAUAGAAGAA